ensembl:lncRNA
GUCCCAGUUCAACCUCGGUUGGGUUUGUCAUAUGGUGGAAGAGGACGGGUGGCCGGAGGGGUUGGCUGUUAUCUUUGGUUAUCUAGCUGUAUGAGUGUUAUUCAUUCUUCAUAAAGCUAGAUAACCGAAAGUAACAAGAAUCCCAUUACACACCUGAAAGGCAUCACCCCAACUUGAGAUCUGUACUCCUCCCCUCUCCUCUUCUCUUACCCUUCCUAAGUCUCCCUCUCUCUCCUCUUCAAUCUCUGCAUCUUAUUGCAAGAUCAAGCCACAAAAUGGCCUCCCUCAAUGCUGAUAGAGAAGACCAAAACAUCCUUGAUGCCAGGGAAAGGAAAGAGUGAAGAAGCAGGGCAGGUUGGUUGUGUGGCUGUCGUCCUGCUGGAGUUGCUGCUCCCCUCCCCUUCGCUGCUCGCUUGCCCCCUUCCUCCCAUCACGAGAUGCAUUUUGCACAAAGCCACCAUCUUAGAGCAUGCGGGCAUUAAAUGGAAGUGGAAAAUAAGCAGGUUUUCAUAGUUAAGUCGAAUGAAGUGACAUCCAUUAAAUGGAGGAUCGGAGCUGAAACGGGCUGAUGGAGUCAAACGGGUCUUUACUAUGCAUGUGCCCCAACAUCAGAUAAAAGACAGCACUUUAAUUGUUCUACAUUACUUCAGUCUUGGCAUUUUUGAUGCAGUUAUAAGGCUGUAUGUUGUGAGUCAAGUGUGUGUGUGUGUGUGUGUGUCUGUGUGGAGAAGAUGAAAGGAAAAAAACGGGUCUGUUUAUACGGGUCAAAGUACUCAACAAAUUGUGUAUUUGUACUAAGGCACUUGUUGGGGAUUCUCCAAGUAAAAAGGAUUUAUUCGGGUAGCUAUAGUGAAUUUAAUGAGGGUUUUCUAGAAAAUGUCAUUUUAAAGGACAAUCAUUAAGGUACUUUUUGAUAAAAUUUAUUUAAAGAAAUUUAUCACUCUCAGAUCUAGUCUGUCUUGGUACAAUCUUUAGCAUGAUGCACUUUAUAACACACAAACUGAUUUUUUAGUUCAGUACUUUUCAAUAUUAAAGGAAAAUGUAGUGGCCUGUGAUCGUUCCCUAAUGUACUUAUCUAAUAACUGAUUACUAAUUGAAAUCUAACAUGAAUUAUUAGAAAUGGUGUGUGAGGCUCUGUAGAUUCUGCAUGUAUGAGUGUGAGACCCACGGCAGCGGUGAACGAUACUGCACUCUGAUUGGACAGCUCAGUGUGUUGUGUGUCACACACUUGUUGGACAGAGAGCUGUUGUCUUUAAUUUCUAUGCAAUUGUGUUGGGCUUGUAAUCAUCUGGAAGAAAAGGCAGAUCAGAGCAGCUAUUAAACCUGUUUUAAGGUGAAAGGAAUAUUUAGCAGAAUAUAUAUUAAUAUUUCAUUACUACUAAAACUGGUUUCAACAGCAAACUGUGAAGUCAUUGACUACUAAAAAGCAGCUUCAUCUAGCUUUUUUGUUUUUUCCAUUUUUGUUUCAGCACUCAAAAUAGAAACAAAUUUAAGAGGUAUUAAAUGCUCUGUAAAUGUCUCUCUGUAUUUUGUGUUACAAUAAGUCAUGGCUGAAGAGAAAAUUCAGUUCAAUAUGCAAAUGUUUUACAAAUUUAUUACAAUUUGAAGAGAAUUGUGCAAUCUAUUUUUCUUAAAAUAAUUUUUAAUCACAGCAUUAUCCUUUCAGUAAAACUGAGAUAAUGUUUUGUUUUGUUUUUUCUUGCAAAAUUUGACAAAUCAAGUGAAUGUGAAGACAAUGGAUUGAUGAAAUGGGGCCUUUUACUAUGCAAUUGUAGUUUUUUCUGUGAUUUUCAGCUAGUCAUAGUCCUGUAAUGAUAACGAUAAUAACUAAAAUCAUAUUUUCUUUUAACUUUAUUCAUCAUCUAACUGUAGGUUUUUCAUUCCAUGUUCAAUGUGUAUUUUUAUUUCCUUAUUUUUUGUAUUUCCGCAUGUGCCUUUUAACAAUGUCCUGGUAUGAAUAUUAAUAAAAGUUUACUUUGAAAACA